GAUGAACGCUAGCUACAGGCUUAACACAUGCAAGUCGAGGGACCGGCGCACGGGUGAGUAACACGUAUCCAACCUGCCCUUUACUCGGGGAUAGCCUUUCGAAAGAAAGAUCCAUACCCGAUAUAAAGGCUGGGGAUGCGUUCCAUUAGGUUGUUGGUGAGGUAACGGCUCACCAAGCCUUCGAUGGAUAGGGGUUCUGAGAGGAAGGGCCCCGACAUUGGAACUGAGACAAGGUCCAAACUCCUACGGGAGGCAGCAGUGAGGAAUAUUGGUCAAUGGGCGCUAGCCUGAUCCAGCCAACUAGCGUGCAGGAUGAAGUCUUAUGUGUCGUAGACUUCUUUUAUAUAAGAACAUGUAUUAUAUGAAGAAGGAUCGGCUAACUCCGUGCCAGCAGCCGCGGUAAUAC
rnacentral:rRNA from 1 species